AAGAGCGGGACACAACCAACUGAGCCAUUCAAGUGCCCCUACAAAUGCUAAUUUUUAUAAUUAUCAUUACUGAAUUUAUGCUGAAAAAUAUCCAGGUUGGAAAUGUUUGAGAGCUGAAGGAAACCUGUAGCUCUGAUUAGAAUGAACUUAGAUUAUACAGAAGGCCUGCCCUACAAUUAUACAUGUGCCGACAUUAAAACUCAGAGAAGCAGCAGCCCAUGGUACAAGGACUAAGUGGUAGCUUAAUAUAAUAGAAUAUAAUGGAAACCAUAUGGUGCAUGGGCAGGCAGCCCCUUGCCGUGGAUACUACGUUGUUCUCACCACAUUAAUGUACACACUGAAGACCAACCAAGGGAGAUGACGACACCAAGAAUCAGAGCAGUGAUGUGACCUUCCAAGUUAACAACAGAGAGAAGUGAUAGAAAGGCAAUGAGAAUUCAAAUUAUAACUACCAAGGUAGUAUUUCUUUUCUCUACCAGAUGAGACCACAUUUUCUCCAAUUCCAUAAACCUACCUCAUUCAAGAAGGGCAAAC